ACGCUGGCGGCAGGCCUAACACAUGCAAGUCGAGCGGAAACGACACUAACAAUCCUUCGGGUGCGUUAAUGGGCGUCGAGCGGCGGACGGGUGAGUAAUGCCUAGGAAAUUGCCUUGAUGUGGGGGAUAACCAUUGGAAACGAUGGCUAAUACCGCAUAAUGCCUACGGGCCAAAGAGGGGGAUCUUCGGACCUCUCGCGUCAAGAUAUGCCUAGGUGGGAUUAGCUAGUUGGUGAGGUAAUGGCUCACCAAGGCGACGAUCCCUAGCUGGUCUGAGAGGAUGAUCAGCCACACUGGAACUGAGACACGGUCCAGACUCCUACGGGAGGCAGCAGUGGGGAAUAUUGCACAAUGGGCGAAAGCCUGAUGCAGCCAUGCCGCGUGUAUGAAGAAGGCCUUCGGGUUGUAAAGUACUUUCAGUUGUGAGGAAGGGGGURUMGUUAAUAGCUGYRMYUCUUGACGUUAGCAACAGAAGAAGCACCGGCUAACUCCGUGCCAGCAGCCGCGGUAAUACGGAGGGUGCGAGCGUUAAUCGGAAUUACUGGGCGUAAAGCGCAUGCAGGUGGUUCAUUAAGUCAGAUGUGAAAGCCCGGGGCUCAACCUCGGAACUGCAUUUGAAACUGGUGAACUAGAGUGCUGUAGAGGGGGGUAGAAUUUCAGGUGUAGCGGUGAAAUGCGUAGAGAUCUGAAGGAAUACCAGUGGCGAAGGCGGCCCCCUGGACA
rnacentral:rRNA from 1 species